rnacentral:rRNA from 1 species
UCCGUAGGUGGAUAAUUAAGUCAGAGGUGAAAUCCUGCAGCUCAACUGUAGAAUUGCCUUUGAUACUGGUCAUCUUGAGUCAUUAUGAAGUGGUUAGAAUGUGUAGUGUAGCGGUGAAAUGCAUAGAUAUUACACAGAAUACCGAUUGCGAAGGCAGAUCACUAAUAAUGUACUGACACUGAGGGACGAAAGCGUGGGGAGCGAACAGGAUUAGAACCCUGGUAGUC